rnacentral:rRNA from 1 species
AAAUGGUGCCGUAACUUCGGGAGAAGGCACGCUGACACGUAGGUGAAGUGAUUUACUCAUGGAGCUGAAGUCAGUCGAAGAUACCAGCUGGCUGCAACUGUUUAUUAAAAACACAGCACUGUGCAAACACGAAAGUGGACGUAUACGGUGUGACGCCUGCCCGGUGCCGGAAGGUUAAUUGAUGGGGUCAGCGCAAGCGAAGCUCCUGAUCGAAGCCCCGGUAAACGGCGGCCGUAACUAUAACGGUCCUAAGGUAGCGAAAUUCCUUGUCGGGUAAGUUCCGACCUGCACGAAUGGCGUAAUGAUGGCCAGGCUGUCUCCACCCGAGACUCAGUGAAAUUGAACUCGCUGUGAAGAUGCAGUGUACCCGCGGCAAGACGGAAAGACCCCGUGAACCUUUACUAUAGCUUGACACUGAACAUUGAGCCUUGAUGUGUAGGAUAGGUGGGAGGCUUUGAAGUGUGGACGCCAGUCUGCAUGGAGCCGACCUUGAAAUACCACCCUUUAAUGUUUGAUGUUCUAACGUGGACCCGUAAUCCGGGUUGCGGACAGUGUCUGGUGGGUAGUUUGACUGGGGCGGUCUCCUCCUAAAGAGUAACGGAGGAGCACGAAGGUUGGCUAAUCCUGGUCGGACAUCAGGAGGUUAGUGCAAUGGCAUAAGCCAGCUUGACUGCGAGCGUGACGGCGCGAGCAGGUGCGAAAGCAGGUCAUAGUGAUCCGGUGGUUCUGAAUGGAAGGGCCAUCGCUCAACGGAUAAAAGGUACUCCGGGGAUAACAGGCUGAUACCGCCCAAGAGUUCAUAUCGACGGCGGUGUUUGGCACCUCGAUGUCGGCUCAUCACAUCCUGGGGCUGAAGUAGGUCCCAAGGGUAUGGCUGUUCGCCAUUUAAAGUGGUACGCGAGCUGGGUUUAGAACGUCGUGAGACAGUUCGGUCCCUAUCUGCCGUGGGCGCUGGAGAACUGAGGGGGGCUGCUCCUAGUACGAGAGGACCGGAGUGGACGCAUCACUGGUGUUCGGGUUGUCAUGCCAAUGGCACUGCCCGGUAGCUAAAUGCGGAAGAGAUAAGUGCUGAAAGCAUCUAAGCACGAAACUUGCCCCGAGAUGAGUUCUCCCUGAGACUUUAGGUCUCCUGAAGGAACGUUGAAGACGACGA